CAAAUUAGUAAUCGAAUUUACCUAGAAGAAAACGAUGGAUUUGAAUUUCCGUUUCUUUUCACGUAAUAAUAUUUAAGUAUUCCUCUAACUCCAUCCUGGAGUCUUCAUUUUGAUUACGUCACAAUGUCGAACUGCGGAUAUGCCUGUCUCUCCUCAAUACUUAGUAUUUUCGCAUUGUCGAAAUCUUUGUAUUCAUACCCUGUCCCCAUUGAAAAUAUUUCGACCAAUGGGCAGUAUACUGGCAUGUAUCUGGAAACUAGCAUGUAUUUUGUCAAAUUAAUAUCCGACAAUGCACCUGAUAAAUUUUUUAUAGCUCUUUCCGAUAAUUAAAUUUAGACCAAUUCCAUUAA